GUCAAAUGGCUUUACCUAGGUCCAACUUAUGUACGUGAUAUUGUUUAGUCUCGAAGUAGUGAUCUGCUUUGUUUGAUUCCAAAUUUUGUUCUUGAUACCAUUACCAUUGACGGCUGCUGUCAAUGGGGCUGCCUUCUUCAUAAAGUCAACUAGACCCGGAGACGUGUACGGCGCCGUCUGACAAUACACAGAUUAUCUAUGGGCCCUAUCUGAAACCUGACUGAACUGAUCAAAUCGCUCCUUGAGAACUCUCUGCAUGGACGCUUCAUAUGUUGAAUGAUCGCGAGACAUUAGCACAGUUGCGAGGCAAUGUGGUAUGGCUAGAGAUAUCACUUAUUUGUGUGUCGACACCCUGAAGGACUGAAACUGGAUGAUCCGCUUGCCAGCAAUGAAGAAGCGAUAGGAAAGUGACAUCGAUUAAAGUGUAUAGCAUUUAGGAAAUCGUCAUUACCUCUCUUUCCUUUCAAUCAGAGCAACGCCAAGGACCAUGAGCAGUAAACUCAAGAAACGAAAUCAAUACAGAGACCUUCACAGGACUACUGAUUGGUGACACUGGAUCAUAGCAUCGUGAUGGAAAGGAUCGAAUCGUAUUAGUGGGACGGUGUAAUCGAGCUCAUCGAGUCGAUCUGCGGCUAUCACAGCCUUCAUGUACUUGCUGCAAGUAGGCAAUGCGUUUGAGCUGGCUUGAGUUCGGCUACUCGAUUGUGACAGAAAUCGAUCUCAAUCGAAUGUCUGGUCAUUUUACUUCAGUUUGUUGAAAUUUGGCCGUCACAAAAUGCCCUACCGAAGUUUGUGUGUGGUGCAAAUCAUCAAGCGAAGAGUAACGAGAUAAUUGACGAUAACUCUUGUGGUGGCAGCGAAAAAAACCAAUGACAAAUAAGGAAAAACAAUAUCAAGCUAGUAAAUCCGUCAUUUCAUCGAUCACAAGGUUAAAUAACAACACUACGUUCGUGCAUAUUGGGCGCAUUGUACGAAACAGCUUCUAACCGAUUAAAACCCGGACGAGAAACUUAACAACGAUCUGACGCCUUAAACGACGACGGCCGCCACUUCGUGGGCCUGCGUACAUCGGCAUCGUGCAUUCGCAUAUAAACUCUUAGUGGACUGAUAGACUCCCGACACAAUUAUUUUCCUACGGAAGACUGCCAUAUGAUUCGAGCUUCGCUAACGCAUGAGGAAGAUGUACACGAACGCCCUGAUAGUGCACGCAUUGAAUCAAGUUCUAUUUGCAGAUACUUAUCUAAACACCUAAUAGACUAAUCAUGAGAUACGAACUUCAUAAUUGUGCAGUUUAUUUCUAGUUGGAUUUCUGAGCAAAACGUAGAUAGAGAAGAUUUUUUGGGAUAUACCUAUAGCGACUAAUUCAUGUACAGUGAAGCAUAUUUAGACAGAACUUUUUUACUUGUCAAACAGUGUGUGUGCUUUGCGCCCCUUAAAUUAUUUUUUUGUGCAUUACGAAAAUUAUCAAUUCCGCUUCUAUUUCAGCCGCUUCUUUUAUCCUGCAGAUCUUCAACGUUCAAUAAUUUUAAUCCCUAUUUUUAUUGACUGACGAAAAUACUUAGAAAAAAUUCUUCUGUAUAACUAUUUCAAAACUAAAUCUAUAUCGUUCCACGAAUAUGCAGAAAAAGAAAUCGUUACCUCGAUCCUGCAGAGACGAGUUUCAUACAUUUGACAAUACUUAUCCUUUGAGCAAGAACGCUACUCCUGUUAAAUACAUUCUAUAAAACAAGGUGCAAAAAUUAAAUGUCGCGCGCACGAUAUUCGAGAUGCUGCUCUGGCCACGCUGACAAACGAAAAGAAUACAUAAAGACGGGUGCUUAACAUUUAGACUGCGAGAAAACCUUAUUAUGUUCAUCUAUGCAGCUUCGUUUUCUUCUUAGACGUAUCUGAUUUUGGUUGCCCGUACGAGUGAUAUCGUAGAAUGCGUACUCAUUGCGAUUUAUACACGGCCAGGUAUGUAUAAUAUAUUCAGUAUGUUAUAAACGAACUAGGCCUAUUGGAUCGAUGUUGGCUCCGAUUAGGUUCCUCACUCAGAUUUGUUUGCUGGCUCUUUGCUAGAAAACUAUAUAUAGUUUUGUAAUCCAGACCUUAGCCAUGACGGGCCUGAACGCAUGCCGCUUAUCGAGUGCUAUGCUACUUUCAGAAAUACUAGACCUAAACCCACGUCGGAUGCCCUCGGUCACACCUAGCUGCGUUGAUAGCGUAGAAAGGCUUCUUAUUUAAAUAUAUAGUUAAUAUAUACAUUUAAAUAUAUUCUCAUCAACAGCACCUAUUCGCAACAUUUUGGAAUUUAAUUAAAAAAAAAAAAAAGUAUAUUUUUGUACUUUCUAUUAUUUAGCUAAUAUUCAAAUCCAGGAUAACCGUCUACAACCACGCCGUUUGAUCAGAAUUGAUCAUAACAUGCUUAUUUAUGUGCAUAGUUUUUUCUAAUACAAAAUUAAGUAUAUACCUUGUAUGCUCUUUAAGGCAAGGAUUGCAGAUGGCGCGGUUCAAUAUAAUAAAGUCAAGAACCAGCUUGGACGCGCAGAAACGUCACUGGUCGCCAAUGGAAAUGAAAACUAUGGUUAUACUGAGGCCGACUUGCUCGAACAUUGGACGGCGCUAGAUGAACAGCCUGAUUCUUUUUCUAGGCGUAUCAACCCGUGGUCUAGAGCAUUUCUUUGUGGCAACGAGCUUGAUGUCUUUGCGGACCGGCGGGCAAAAAUGAUUCACUGUGUUUCAGGAUUGUGUUAGACUUCACUCCGUUAUUCGACUUGCUAUCGCCAAGACAACUCCCGACGCAUCCAAGCUUCGUUUUCCGUCUGCGCCGUAUCUGCAUUGAAGUAAACGUUGACCAUUUCGCAUGUCUCGAAAACGAACUAAAUCUAUCUGGAUCUGCAGUAGCUAGGCGCAGCAGAUUUAUUUCUGCAAUAGCAACGCAAAAAGGAGAUCUUUUCUACUUCUAAGCACACCCCCGUCAGCGGCCAGAUCAAACCGGAACAUAUAGUGACGCAUGAUCCGAGCACCUAGUCAUGCUAGUGGAUCGGAUAGUUGACGUUCAUUGCAGUUGUUGGUCGGGUACGUCCUGCGUUUUUUUAAUGCCGACGCUAUGUUCGUAGUCGCCGUUGUAAUAUUGGUGUUUCCUUUCUCAGUGGCAAUGGGCAAGUCUAAUCGACAGAGUGGUGUGACCAUCAUCCUUGGUAAUAAUUAUAUGCUUACAUACCAGUAGCAGCCCGUACAUAGCGUUAGCAUGAAAACGCAUGCGACGCUUUUCGUGCUAGCUGCUACGUUGCUCCCUAAGAAGCGUCCCGUCGUCGUCGUCGUCGUCUUUUUUCCCUCCUCCACCAGCAUCCGAAGUCGUCAAGACAGCACUGCCCCGAAGCUUCCGAUACGUUUUUACAGAUACUUCACUGCGAGCCAUGCGCGAUUAGCUCUUAUCGACAUGAAUACCUUCAUGCUUGCCAAGUUAACGGCAAAUAUGAUUUGUUAACCAAGUUAUUGACAUAAACGUGAUAAAUAUUAUAGCUGUCAUUCAUAUAUGUGAUAGAUGCUGCUUGUACAUGUUUUAGUACAAUACGUUGAUUUUCCGUCGAAACGGGUUUCUGACAUACACAGAAUUUAGCAAUGGACAGCUUGGCACAACCGAAUUUGUGAGUUGAGUAGCGAUAUGCUCUUUGAAGGUAACGUGCAGCUUUUGCUUGCUGGCACACACAAAAGCGGAUCAAUCAGAAUUAUCGUGAUAUAGUUCGUGGGGUCUUAGUGUACCAGGAAGUAAAAGUUCAACAAAUCUUGAUCAGAAAUUCAGUGUAUUGCUUCUAUUACCGUUGUUAUUUCGCAGAGCCUUCUGCUGCAAUUUGUAGACUCUUUGUCGUCCUCAUGGAAUGACGCAAUGGCAGUAACAUGUUUGCCUAGUAAAUUUAGGCACGCUUAGUGACGUAAUGUGGUAGUAGUACGUAGAUACUCUUUGUUUCGUGCCGGAAAGGGGCAGCCAUCGAAACAAUGAACACUUAACGAAGGCAGCACUGUACGUAAAACGAUUCUAUUAUUAAAUAUCUAUUAUCUGUUGUACAAGUUUCCAAGUUGCAGACUGUAGGUACGUAGCUGUUUGUAGUAGUAGCGCUGCUACGAUGAGUCGGGGCGUAUGUGUGUACUUUUGCAAUGGUUCUCAAUUAGCUUUAGAAGCGACCCAUGUCGAAACUGCAAGAAAAAAAGCUCAUUUCGUCUCA